CAGGUUUGAAAGUGUGUAUUUUGGGGGAGCUGAUGUGGCUCAGUGGUUGGGCACCAGCUUCCCGCAUAUGAGGUCUGGAGUUCAAUUCCCAGCCCCAGCACUUACGGAAAGAAAAAAGAAAAAGUGCAUUUUUUUCCACAUAAGGUUUAGAAUACUGGAAAGAGCCUUGGUUUUAACAGCUGGGAGAUCUGGUCAUCUGACAGCAGCUGGGCCACCAACUGCUUGUGUGACCCUAAACAAAGUAAACUUCUGGGCCAUUUCUUCAAAAAUGAAAAGGUUGAACUAGACGGGCGAGUCUUCCACCGCCGCCCGCCCGCCCUCCUUCCCCUCUCUUUUGAAAGCUGAAGAUCCUUUUCUUUCUCAAUCAACCAGGAAGCUCAGAAUCCAUCCACAUCUGCACAGGGACCCUUGCGCAGUCUUCACCGUCCAGCCGCCAGCCUAGGAUCAGGCCAGCAGGCUCGAGCCUCCCCGCCCUGGGCGCACCCCGGCUCAGUGACUUGCUGUGGGGUCUCGGAAGCCUCGAAAGCCUUUCCGACGGGGCCCACCCAGCCUGCAGCUUAAAGCGCCCGAUGGAGACCGGAAAGACAGGCAGGACAGGCGGCAGAUGGCCGCGGGGAAGGCGGGAGACCCGGAGGCCGCGCCCCAGGAGGCGGACGCGCAGACGACGGUCAUCAGGCCCCCACCAGUCCUGGCCACGCCCGCCGAGCCUCCAACAAGGAGGGGUGCCCAGAGAGUGUUCCCGUAAGACGGCUAUUUCCAACAGAAGGGCCUGCCCGCCCCAU
rnacentral:lncRNA from 1 species